rnacentral:rRNA from 1 species
AGAGUUUGAUCCUGGCUCAGGAUGAACGCUAGCGGCAGGCCUAACACAUGCAAGUCGAGGGGUAACGACCCUGCUUUCGGGCGGGGGGCGACGACCGGCGCACGGGUGAGUAACGCGUAUGCAACCUACCCUUUACUGGGGAAUAGCCCGAAGAAAUUCGGAUUAAUGCCCCAUAAUAUUAUUUCUUCUCAUGGAGAGAUAAUUAAAACUCCGGUGGUAAAGGAUGGGCAUGCGUGACAUUAGAUAGUUGGUGAGGUAACGGCUCACCAAGUCUACGAUGUCUAGGGGGCCUGAGAGGGUGAUCCCCCACACUGGUACUGAGACACGGACCAGACUCCUACGGGAGGCAGCAGUGAGGAAUAUUGCGCAAUGGAGGAAACUCUGACGCAGCCAUGCCGCGUGCAGGAUGAAUGCCCUAUGGGUUGUAAACUGCUUUUAUACGGGAAUAAGCACAGCUACGUGUAGUUGUUUGAAUGUACCGUACGAAUAAGCAUCGGCUAACUCCGUGCCAGCAGCCGCGGUAAUACGGAGGAUGCAAGCGUUAUCCGGAUUUAUUGGGUUUAAAGGGUGCGUAGGCGGUUUAUUAAGUCAGUGGUGAAAGUCUGCAGCUUAACUGUAGAAUUGCCAUUGAUACUGAUAGACUUGAAUAUAGUUGAGGUAGGCGGAAUGUGUAAUGUAGCGGUGAAAUGCUUAGAUAUUACACAGAACACCGAUUGCGUAGGCAGCUUACUAAACUAUCAUUGACGCUGAGGCACGAAAGCGUGGGGAGCGAACAGGAUUAGAUACCCUGGUAGUCCACGCUGUAAACGAUGAUCACUCGCUGUUGGCAAUACAUCGUCAGCGGCUAAGCGAAAGCAUUAAGUGAUCCACCUGGGGAGUACGUCGGCAACGAUGAAACUCAAAGGAAUUGACGGGGGCCCGCACAAGCGGUGGAACAUGUGGUUUAAUUCGAUGAUACGCGAGGAACCUUACCUGGGCUUAAAUGUAGAAUGACUUUACUCGAAAGAGUAUUUUCCUUCGGGACAUUUUACAAGGUGCUGCAUGGUUGUCGUCAGCUCGUGCCGUGAGGUGUCGGGUUAAGUCCCAUAACGAGCGCAACCCCUAUCACUAGUUGCCAGCAUGUAAUGGUGGGGACUCUAGUGAAACUGCCGGUGUAAACCGUGAGGAAGGUGGGGAUGACGUCAAAUCAGCACGGCCCUUAUGUCCAGGGCUACACACGUGUUACAAUGGUCGGUACAAAGGGAUGCUACCAGGUGACUGGAUGCUAAUCUCCAAAAACCGGUCUCAGUUCGGAUUGAAGUCUGCAACUCGACUUCAUGAAGCUGGAAUCGCUAGUAAUCGCGCAUCAGCAAUGGCGUGGUGAAUACGUUCCCGGGCCUUGUACUCACCGCCCGUCAAGCCAUGGAAGCCGGGGGUACCUGAAGGCUGUAACCGCAAGGAGCGGUCUAGGGUAAAACUGGUAACUGGGGCUAAGUCGUAACAAGGUA